rnacentral:lncRNA from 1 species
UCCGAAAAUAAAAAUAGAAAUGUAUCCGUGAAUAGCCGAAUAGGGAAGCGUGCCAGGGCUAUCUCAAUCUUCCCAUACUUAUCGAUCACGUCAUCAUCCCCUUUGUCCGAUACGAAACCGAACCUCCCUUCUUUAAAAUCCACACCUUGUCCGAAUCUCUCUCCAACCGCUAAAAGAGAAAAAAAAUGGCGACAACCCAGCUAAAAUCGGAUGCGAUCAUGGAUUUGAUGAAGCAGCAUCUCUCCACCGACGCCGGUAAAGAGCUCACAGAGAAGAUCGGUCUCGUUUAUCAGAUCAACGUCGCUCCCAAGGUUCCAAUCAAGAGCAAAAAAUCUUCUAUUUACGUCAUUUUACAAUCGAUGUUGUCUAUCUAUUUUUUAUUUGUGUCAGCCGCAAAACUUAUUUUUUAUGCAUAUGAAAUCUUAAAAAUAAGUAAAAUGAGUUGUAAUACAUUAAUUCUUCAAUAACGAUGAUACAUAGAUCAACAUUUGUAUUCGUCAUUGUAAUCAUUUUACAAUUGAUAAAGAUUGUAGUGUUGCAAAACUUUAAAACCAUUUAAUGAACAAACAUUUGUAUAAAAUUUCACUCUGCGCAUACGCGCGAAUUAUCAUAUAGUUGUCAUAUAUAUAUUAAUCAUAUCAGGUAAUUCCGUAGUUUUUAUUUAAGAAAAUAAUUGAUAAUUUUUUUGUAUAAAUAUAAUUUAUAUUUAUAUAGAAAAAUUUAUUUUCCUAAGGAUUUUAAAAAUUAUCCUAGUGAUGACACGUGCCUACAAAAACAUGUUGUAAUACUUCAGGAUUAAUAUAUAAAUAUGAUAAUGCAUAACUUUAAAAACAAUAUAUGUUCAGUUUCUAUAGUAUCACGAAAAAUCUGAUGUUAUUUUAGCCUAGUACUAUAACCAUGGAAUAUUUACUAAAAUACGUAUCUUUCGCAUUCAUUAGUUUAUUUGAUACAUACUCCUAUUCCUCCAUUGAAUAUUUGUAGAGAUUUUUACCAGAAACAAAUAUUUGUACAGUGAUUCAUCAGAGAACAGUAGUUGAGUUUGCAUUUUUUUUCUUAAUUACUGUAUUAGGAGAAAAAGGCAAGAUUAGUCUCUCCGAAUUCUCCGAAAAUAAAAAUAGAAAUGUAUCCGUGAAUAGCCGAAUAGGGAAGCGUGCCAGGGCUAUCUCAAUCUUCCCAUACUUAUCGAUCACGUCAUCAUCCCCUUUGUCCGAUACGAAACCGAACCUCCCUUCUUUAAAAUCCACACCUUGUCCGAAUCUCUCUCCAACCGCUAAAAGAGAAAAAAAAUGGCGACAACCCAGCUAAAAUCGGAUGCGAUCAUGGAUUUGAUGAAGCAGCAUCUCUCCACCGACGCCGGUAAAGAGCUCACAGAGAAGAUCGGUCUCGUUUAUCAGA